CUCGAGAGUGGAGAAAAAGCAUCCCUAGGUGUGGUUGUGGCCAUCUUGGACAGCUGCGUGCCACUUGUCAACACAAGGACUUGUCACAGUUACAGUGACUGUGC